rnacentral:rRNA from 1 species
UAAAAGAUUAAGCCAUGCAUGUCUAAGUVUACGCAAAUUAUACUGUGAAACUGCGAAUGGCUCAUUAAAUCAGUUAUAGUUUAUUUGAUGUUUCUUGCUACAUGGAUAACUGUGGUAAUUCUAGAGCUAAUACAUGCGUAAAAAGCCCCGACUUCUGGAAGGGGUGUAUUUAUUAGAUAAAAACCAUCCUCCUCGGAGUUUGGUGAUUCAUAAUAACUUCUCGAAUCGCACGGCCUUGUGCUGGCGAUGCUUCAUUCAAAUAUCUGCCCUAUCAACUGUCGAUGGUAGGAUAGAGGCCUACCAUGGUUGCAACGGGUAACGGGGAAUAAGGGUUCGAUUCCGGAGAGGGAGCCUGAGAAACGGCUACCACAUCCNRGGAAG